CGCCUCUUGCACACUCAAUAAGAGGUCCAGCCUGCCCAGUGACCCUGUUCAACGGCCGCGGUAUCCUAACCGUGCGAAGGUAGCGUAAUCACUUGUUCUUUAAAUGAGGACUAGUAUGAAUGGCAUCACGAAGGUUAUACUGUCUCCUCUCUCUAAUCAGUGAAACUAAUCUCCCCGUGAAGAAGCGGGGAUGAUCAUAUAAGACGAGAAGACCCUAUGGAGCUUUAAACUAAGAAGCAAUUGCCCUCAUACCUUUGAAAUUCCAGAAAACUAAUGAGUACAAGGCACCGUGACUUCCAGUUUUAGGUUGGGGUGACCACGGAGUAAAAACUAACCUCCGCACUGAAUAGGGGCCUUCCCUAAACUAAGGGCCACAACCCUAAGAAUCAAUACAUUGACAGCAAUUGACCCAAAAAUUUGAUCAAUGAACCAAGUUACCCUAGGGAUAACAGCGCAAUCCACUUCAAGAGCUCCUAUCGACAAGUGGGUUUACGACCUCGAUGUUGGAUCAGGGUACCCCAGUGGUGCAGCCGCUACUAACGGUUCGUUUGUUCAACGAUUAAAACCCU
rnacentral:rRNA from 1 species